AGCGAACGCUAGCGGCGGGCCUAACACAUGCAAGUCGAGCGCAUAGCUUCGGCUAUGAGCGGCGGACGGGUGAGUAACACGUAGGUCAUCUACCCUCUGGUGGGGAAUAACCCGGGGAAACCCAGGCUAAUACCGCACGAGCCGAAAGGUCAAAGCCGGCAACGGCGCCAGAGGACGAGCCUGCGUCGCAUUACCUAGUUGGUAGGGUAAUGGCCUACCAAGGGGACGAUGCGUAGCUGGUCUGAGAGGAUGAUCAGCCACACUGGGACUGAGACACGGCCCAGACUCCUACGGGAGGCAGCAGUGGGGAAUAUUGCGCAAUGGGCGAAAGCCUGACGCAGCCACGCCGCGUGAGUGAUGAAGGCCUUCGGGUUGUAAAGCUCUGUCGGAGGGGAAGAAUACUGACGGUACCCUCAAAGAAAGCACCGGCUAACUCCGUGCCAGCCGCCGCGGUAA
rnacentral:rRNA from 1 species